AGCCUGACAACCCAGUUCCUUCUCCCUCAACCAGUAGAAACAAGCCUGACAAUCCAGUUUCUACUGCCUCAACCAAUACAGAACAGCCUGUUACUACUACCGAGCCAGUUUCUACUGCCUUAUCCAAUACAGAACAGUCUGACAAGACACAUUCUCCUGCCUCAUCAAAUAUUGUACGUAAUUGAAUUAAUCAUACAGUGCAGACAGUUUCUGUUUGCAUUUUAGUAUUUUUAUUAGUGUCCCUUAUAGUGUCAUUUAUUAUAUUCUAUUAUCUAUAGCUGUAGGGGAAUGUCUGUGGUUGUAAAGUUUUAGUAUAAUAUGGUAUUUUCUACAAUGGUGGUAUAGUGUUAGUAUAGAAGUAUCUGUAGUGGUAUAGUGUUAGUAUAGGAGUAUGUAUAGUGGUAUAUUGUUAGUAUAGGAGUAUCUACAGUGGCAUAGUGUUAGUAUAGGAGUAUGUA